UACGUAGGUGGCAAGCGUUGUCCGGAAUGACUGGGCGUAAAGGGUGCGUAGGCGGCCUGUUAAGUUAGAAGUGUAAUACCUAGGCUCAACUUAGGUGCUACUUCUAAGACUGGCGGGCUUGAGUGUGGGAGAGGUAAGUGGAAUUCCUAGUGUAGCGGUGGAAUGCGUAGAUAUUAGGAGGAACACCAGUGGCGAAGGCGACUUACUGGACCAUAACUGACGCUGAGGCACGAAAGCGUGGGGAGCAAACAGGAUUAGAUACCCUGGUAGUCCACGCUGUAAACGAUGGAUACUAGGUGUAGGGGGUAUCGACUCCCCCUGUGCCGUCGCAAACGCAAUAAGUAUCCCGCCUGGGGAGUACGACCGCAAGGUUAAA
rnacentral:rRNA from 1 species